AGAAACCAUUCCACUGUGAUAUCUGUGGUAAAUCAUUCUCUCAGUCAGGUCACCUGGUUACUCACAAACAGAUUCAUACAGGUAGUCCGCGUGUUCACUGUGACAUUUGUGGUAAAUCAUUGUCUCGAAAGAGUCAGUUAACCAGACACGGUUGUAAACGUUGACGAAAAAAGUUAACC